rnacentral:snRNA from 1 species
GGAUGCGAGGGCAAUCUGGCUGUGACAUCUGUCACCCCCACUGAUUGUCAGGACUGAUUUGACUGAUCUGGCUGGCUAGGUGGGUGUCCCCUUCCUCCCUCACAGCUCCAUGUGCAUCCCUCCCACUGGGUCGAAGAGGAAGACUAUCCCCGAUAGAGGAGGACCAUUCUUCUCGGUCAAGGGUAUAGGAGUAGCUGCUCUCCCCUGCGAGAACCUCCAAACAAGCUCUCAGGAAGGAUCCAGGUCCCUGGUGAUAUUGUGGAGCUACCAGAAUGAUGCUAGAAUAGCUUUCUCU